GACGAACGCUGGCGGCGUGCUUAACACAUGCAAGUCGAACGGAAAGGCCCUGCUUUUGUGGGGUGCUCGAGUGGCGAACGGGUGAGUAACACGUGAGUAACCUGCCCUUGACUUUGGGAUAACUUCAGGAAACUGGGGCUAAUACCGGAUAGGAGCUCCUGCUGCAUGGUGGGGGUUGGAAAGUUUCGGCGGUUGGGGAUGGACUCGCGGCUUAUCAGCUUGUUGGUGGGGUAGUGGCUUACCAAGGCUUUGACGGGUAGCCGGCCUGAGAGGGUGACCGGGCAAAAUGGGGACUGGGAUCCGCCCAAGCUCCUACGGGGGGCAAGAGGGGGGGAUUAUGGAAAAUGGGGGGGAGGCUGGAGGCGGAACGGCGCGGGGGGGAAUACGGGCUUUCGGUUUGUAACCGCUUUUGGCUGGUAACGAGGGGGGGGUGAGGUAAUGGGUAAAGGAGGACCGGCUAAAUUCGUU
rnacentral:rRNA from 1 species